AUGGCAGUUGGAGAUAGCCGUCAUUUAGAAAAUGACAGUCGGUUUCAGCUAGAUGAAAGAUUCCAUGAGGAAUUUUCGGCAAAGCAGAAGAAAAAAAGAAAGUUACAACCAGAAUCCAGCAAUACAAAGAAAAGAACUUCAAGUUUUGAGAACCAGCUCAUAGUUCGAUAUGACCCCACAAUCCCCGAACACAAGAAGUAUGAGCUCAAAUCUGGCCAAGAUCGGAAACCCACGGCAUCUAAAAAGACUGAGAGGAAAAAGAAGAAAAAAGAAAAAUUGAACAGAGUGGAGGCCGCUCCACAACCAGUUUCCGCUCAAACUUUUGUAAAAAUAUCAGAUGAUUUGAAAGGUUACUUUCAGAACAAGGAGAAGAAAAAUGAAGGUUUUAGUAUUUUGAAAAUGAUAGAGCAGGAUAAGUCUUCUGAAAGCGAUGAAUCUGAAAUGGAUGAAUCAGUAAAAGCACAAACAUCCGAAGAGCAGCAUUCACCUGUUGAGAAAAAAAUGGAAUCUAAAGCAGAAGUGCUACAUAUUGAACGGAUGGACUUGGACAAAGGAACCAAAAAAUCUUACAACGAAACUGAGCCACUAUUAUCAACCUCAGUUGAUAGGCGAGAGUACUUCAAUCCAAAGAAAGGAAAAAUUUUCUGUCCUGAAAACGGUGUAUGGUAUGAUACCCUGUUUCCAAGAAAAGGUGACGUUCGUUUGGAAGAAGGUAUACGGUGGUUAAAUACAAAACCGAAACUACCGGAAAACUGGUCCAAGUUUAGAAGGGAGCUAUAUUUUGAUGCCCUGCAAAAACAGCAGAAGAGUUUCAAGAAGUUGAAUUCCAUGAAAAAUCCGCACCAACAACGUAGAGAGCAUCAAUUGAACAAGGCUCGCAAGUACAUCCAUCGAAGCAUUAAGAUGAAGAAAGGAAAUUAAUCAUUCCUUUUCAUUAAUUAAUUUAAUGAAUAUUUGUGUCUCUUGGUUUUUCUUGUUUGUAAGUAUGUACAUUAUAUAUGUAUAUAAAAAAAAUUAAUUUUUUUAUCACUCCCGAACUUUUGAUAUGACAUUAUUCAAAAUGUCAAAUAAAGUAACAAGGAUAAAAUAAAAAUUGAACAUUUUAAUGAAUAGCCGUUAAAAAUUUGAUGAAAUUAAUGAAGUUAGAUAGUAAAACCUUUAAAGACUGCUAGGGAGAGGGAGGGAACUUUGGACCCCCCGUAUAUACAGGGUGUUCUGAAUGCCUCGCUCCCCCCCUCUAACUUUUGAACGGUUAGAGAUAGAAAAACGAAACUUUGGGAAUGUUUCUAUCUCAAAGAGCACCAUCUUUUAGGGGGGGGGGGGUCAAAAUUUUUGCCCCUCCCCUCAAGGGGGAGGAGGGCCCCAAACUUUUUUUUCAAAUGUUAACCCCUCUUUGGUGAUACAUCAUUGAAAAGUACAUUAAAAUCUAAGAAUUCUGGCGGAAACCGCAGAUCAAUAUCUUAAUUUUUGACCGAGUUAUGAUCGGUCAAGUGUCAAAUUUUACCUAUUUUCAAAAAAUCAUGACUCUGGUUCAAAUUAUCGUAAAGUAAAAAAUAAAACGGGAAAAUUUACCAAAUUGUGUUCGCUUUUAAGUAAAAAUCGCAGAAAUCACUAUGGACUAAUUUUAAGGGGGCGGAUUCGGACCCCCAAAUACGUCAAUUCAAAGGUUAUUCGAUUUUCCCCGCAAAAUAAGCCAAUUUCACCUGACUUUGCCUCCACAUUAUCUCAGUAAGGUCGAAAUCAGUUCAACAUUACGUUUGCAAAUCCUCAAGUGACGGAAAAAGUUUAAAAAAAAACGAAUUUUAAUCACCUUAAAUUCCGUUUUUUUUAACUUUUCCCGUCAAUUGAGGACUUGCAAACGUGAUGUUGAACUGAAUUUGACCUUACUGAGAUAAUGUGGAGGCAAAGUCAGGGGAAAUUGGCUUAUUUCGCGGGAAAAUCGAAUGACCUUAGAAUUGAUGUAUUAUAAAUCCGAAAUCCCCCCUUAAAAUUAGUCCGAAGUGAUUUCUGCGAUUUAUACUUAAAAGCGAACACAAUAUUUAGUAAAUUUUCCCGUUUUAUUUUUUACUUUACGAUAAUUUGAACCAGAGUUAUGAUUUUUUGAAAAUAGGUAAAAUUUGACAUUUGACCUAUCAUGACUUGGUCAAAAAUUAAGAUAUUGAUCUGCGGUUUACGCCAAAAUUCUUAGAUUUUAAUGUACUCUUCAAUGAUGUAUCACAAAAUAGGGAACACCAUUUGAAAAAAAAAGUUAGGAUCCGUUACCCCCCCCCCCCCCAAGGAGGACCCCCCAAAAUUUUAGGGGGGUCAAAGAGUAGCUCCCUUUGACCCAGGAACAUCCUCCAAGUUUCCAAGCUCUACCUCAAUUAGGUCAAAAGAUAGAAAGGGGGAGAGAGAGGACUUUUCGGACACCCUGUAUAUAUCUCUUAGAUGUAGUAAGAGCACGGAACUGAAAGAGAGCACAGCGCUCUUGGAUAGAGUCUGUCUUCUUCCUAUUAGAGCUGUGCGAUUACAGAUUUUUGAAUUUUAUUACGAUUAACUAAAUUAAUUGCGAUUCUGAUUAAAAUUGGAGAAAGAGUAAAUAAUGAUCAAAUAUUUGUCAUCCUCAUUUUUUUGGCUUUUAUGACCAAGAACAGAGCUGAGUAAAUGAACUUUUGAAGAAUUUUUUAUAAGACUCUGGAAGCUAAUACCUUUUCUCCAAUAGAUACAACAAUAAUUCUCAUAAUUGAUUCUCAAUAUUUUUUUCUUAUUUUCUUAAGGUUGGCUCAAUGUACCUUUUUCCUAUGGAUUCUUUCCUCCCAAAGUAAAUUAGACCCUUUUCCAGCUUCUUGGCUCGGAUAAAAGAGGGAACAAACACGACACAAGGCAGAGAGUUAAUAUAAUAACCUCUUAAAAUUUGCGCCAGGAUAUGUCUGUAUUUUUCUGUUUAUGUACUGGCAGCUUCUCCUAUCAAAAGUAUAGUAGAACACGUUUGAUGCGAAUAUUUUCACUAAUUUUCAUGAAAUUGUCACUAUAUUUAGGGGGAUUUUUUACUACUAGAGGCUCGCAGCCCCCUAGUGACGCAAAUUCGGAUGAACGCGAUAGAAUUUUGGAAUUAAAAAUGCGGCGGGAAAUUCAAACAUGAAGUCAAAUGAAUAAACUCAAUUGCAAUUAAUUUUCAAUUAAAAUAAGAUGAUAAUUAAACAAAUUAAUCACGAGUAGAAUUAAUAUUUCCUUAAUCCUAGAGCUCUACUUUUUAUUUAGAUGGAGGAAGCUGAGGUAUGUCAAAAGAAUUUCGCAGAGCAGUGUGUCAAUAACCCAAAAAUUAUAAUUUUGUUUCAAAAUUUGGUCAAAAUGGGAGGUUAGGUCUUAUAAUUUGCAAUUGAACUUGGGAAACAAAAUUGGGCCCAGAAAAUUAAUGAAAACAAUUCGAAAAAAGUCAGUAAUUAAACCUCAUUAUUUAACAACGCUUAUAUUUACAAAUGCCUGCACAGCCACAUACAAAAAAAUUGAAAGCCUAAGAUGCGCAGAAAUUGAAUGAUACAAACUUAAUGGCUUCGUUAAUGAAGACUGAACGAACUGCUGCUAAAAACAGUUUAACGGUCUGUUGCCCAAUUUUUUGCUUGUCGCCAUUUCCACAGGAUAUUCUUAUCACCUAGGUCGGCAUUAUAUCCAGGGCUAUAUUUUCCUCUUUUGGGCU
rnacentral:lncRNA from 1 species